GAUGAACGCUGGCGGCGUGCCUAAUACAUGCAAGUCGAGCGAACAGACGAGGAGCUUGCUCCUCUGACGUUAGCGGCGGACGGGUGAGUAACACGUGGAUAACCUACCUAUAAGACUGGGAUAAAUUCGGGAAACCGGAGCUAAUACCGGAUAACAUGUUGAACCGCAUGGUUCAACAGUGAAAGACGGUCUUGCUGUCACUUAUAGAUGGAUCCGCGCCGCAUUAGCUAGUUGGUAAGGUAACGGCUUACCAAGGCAACGAUGCGUAGCCGACCUGAGAGGGUGAUCGGCCACACUGGAACUGAGACACGGUCCAGACUCCUACGGGAGGCAGCAGUAGGGAAUCUUCCGCAAUGGGCGAAAGCCUGACGGAGCAACGCCGCGUGAGUGAAGAAGGUCUUCGGAUCGUAAAACUCUGUUAUUAGGGAAGAACAAAUGUGUAAGUAACUAUGCACGUCUUGACGGUACCUAAUCAGAAAGCCACGGCUAACUACGUG
rnacentral:rRNA from 1 species